rnacentral:rRNA from 1 species
CAGUAGCCGCGGGAAUACGUAGGUGGCAAGCGUUGUCCGGAAUUAUUGGGCGUAAAGGGCUCGCAGGCGGUUUCUUAAGUCUGAUGUGAAAGCCCCCGGCUCAACCGGGGAGGGUCAUUGGAAACUGGGAAACUUGAGUGCAGAAGAGGAGAGUGGAAUUCCACGUGUAGCGGUGAAAUGCGUAGAGAUGUGGAGGAACACCAGUGGCGAAGGCGACUCUCUGGUCUGUAACUGACGCUGAGGAGCGAAAGCGAGGGGAGCGAACAGGAUUAGAUACCCCCGUAGUCCCUGUCUCUUAUAC